AGAGUUUGAUUAUGGCUCAGAACGAACGCUGGCGGCGCGUCUUAAGCAUGCAAGUCGAACGGCAAGAGGUAGCAAUACCUCCUAGAGUGGCGGACUGGUGAGUAACACGUGGGUGACAUACCCUUCAGAUGGGGAUAGCUAUUAGAAAUAGUAGAUAAUACCGAAUACGAGCACAGGGGUUAGAGAUCUGUGAGGAAAGGAGCUAAGGCUCCGCUGAAGGAAUGGCCUGCGGCCCAUUAGCUAGUUGGUGAGGUAAGAGCCCACCAAGGCGAUGAUGGGUAUCCGGCCUUAGAGGGUGAACGGACACAUUGGGACUGAGAUACGGCCCAGACUCCUACGGGAGGCAGCAGCUAAGAAUAUUCCGCAAUGGACGAAAGUCUGACGGAGCGACGCCGCCGUGGAUGAAGAAGGCCGGAAGGUUGUAAAAUCCUUUUGAAACUGAAGAAUAAGCGUUGUAGGGAAUGACAGCGUGGUGACAGUUAGGUUUUGAAUAAGCAACGGCUAAUUACGUGCCAGCCGCCGC
rnacentral:rRNA from 1 species